AAAUGUGUAUACUCCACAUGUAUUUUUAGUUGUGUGACGGGUGUGAGCGAGUAUUUGAGUCAACCUAAUUUAAAUUUGAUGCCCAGUAAAACUAUCAUUUCGAAUCGGAUCCCGUGCUGGGAUCAAGUGCGCCCCAAUAUGAGACAUACCCUACGCAAAGGGUGCCAACAAAGGCGGAUUUCCAUAAAACAACAUUUGCGGAGGGCAUUAAAAUGCUGUCGGCGCCAUCGCCUCAAACAAUGUCCAAGUGUCCCGGGGACAUCGUGAUUAGCACUGGAAAAAAACUCCCGACGGCCACUGGACAGGAGCCAGAACCAUCCAUACAGAUGGGUAGGCGACACCAUCCGCUGGCAAUUAGCCCGUUUAGAGGGUUUCUGUUUGGUUACACCUGGCGUAUACGUAAUGCAGCGUGAAUAAUUUUCCAGCCGAGCGAUAUUUGAACAAUUCUCGUAGCAAAAGGCUGCAUAACAAUUACUCCAGAGCAGGGCUCACAUGUGGGGGUGCGCCAUAUGGUAUAGUGCUGCCAAACCCUGCAAGUGACCCCCAUUCCCCCGUUUCCCUCGCCGAAUAGUUGACGUCAAGCGGACUGACUGUUUACCUUUCGUCAGGCGAUAAGCUGCAUUCUGCUGUAACAAUCGCAUCCAUCAUAGCCGCUUUUUCCGAUUAGAUUGCCAUAGAUCCGUAUUUCGGCCAAGCCACUUACUAAAAACGAUGGACAAUUCUUCAGCCGCCGACAUGCGGAGCUGAUAGCUGGGUUACGAAUUGGGUCCCGGGGGCUUGGCUAAUCGAAUGGCCCCCGAAAUCGGAACCCGAUAACGUGCAAAUGUCUCGAGAUUCGCAGGCCAGGCAGUCGGCAAGUGAACGUGCCUGGAAACGUGUCUGCCAUGUGCCAAAAUUGAUUUGCCAUCAACAGCGUGCACGGCAAACAAAUAAAUAUGCCAUAUGAGCAAAGGUCUGGCCCUGUUAUUGUUUUCCAUGUUUGUUUGUACAAGAAACUCAAUCAUAAGGCAACAGUUUUGCCUCGACCGAAUGAAAGCCUCUGCGAUGAGCAGCAUUUGCCUCCUUAUUAUUGGCUGUUAUUCCUUAAUUAAUAUUUACUUAUUUGUAUUUGUUAUUUGUAGUUGCCUCAUGCCCUACAACGCAAUGAAUGUUUUUAAAAUAAAUGAAUAAAUGAUAUCCUGUCACAAGUAAAUAUUCCAAGGAUGGUAUUUUCUAGGCAACCACUUGAGCAUUAGUUUAGAUUUAAUUCUAUGCAGUCCACUUAUCUUUCAUUUGCUCCCUGAAAUACCUAAAAUAAAUACUUUUAACCAUG